UUGCGUUGAUAAUUCAGAAAAAAUAAUAUAUAUCGGCAAAGCCGAGGCAACAGUUGUUCACAAACAUUGUAAUCAAUAAUGAUCCCUCCGCAGGUUCACCUACGGAGA
rnacentral:misc_RNA from 1 species